CACGUGAGGGCGCAAGCGUUGUCCGGAAUUUGAUUGGGCGUAAAGAGCUCGUAGGCGGUUCUGUUACGUCAUGCCUGUGGAAAACCCGGGGCUUAACCCUGGGCUUGCAGUGGAUACGGGGCAAGACUAGAUGGCAGGGUAGGGGAGAAGUGGAAUUCCCGGUGUAGCGGUGAAAUGCGCAGAUAUCAGGAGGAACACCGAUGGCGAAGGCAGGUCUCUGGGCAUUAACUGACGCUGAGGAGCGAAAGCAUGGGGAGCGAACAGG
rnacentral:rRNA from 1 species